UCGGAAUUACUGGGCGUAAAGCGCAUGCAGGUGGUUUGUUAAGUCAGAUGUGAAAGACCCGGGGCGUCAACCUCGGAAUUGCAUUUGAAACUGGCAGACUAGAGUACUGUAGAGGGGGUAGAAUUUCAGGUGUAGCGGUGAAAAUGCGUAGAGAUCUGAAGGAAUACCGGUGGCGAAGGCGGCCCCCUCGGACAGAUACUGACACUCAGAUGCGAAAGCGUGGGGAGCAAACAGGAUUAGAUACCCUGGUAG
rnacentral:rRNA from 1 species